AACGCACCUUGCGCUCCUUGGUAUUCCGAGGAGCAUGCCUGUUUGAGUGUCAUUAAUAUAUCAACCUCUUUAAAUUUUGAGAGUGUUUGGAUGUGGGGGUGUUAUUUUGCUGGCCUUUCUCCAAGGUCAGCUCCCCUGAAAUGUAUUAGCGGAACAAUUUGUUGACCGUUCAUUGGUGUGAUAGCAUAUCUACGCUAUUGACGUGAAGCAAGUUCAGCUUAUAACAGUCCAUUGACUUGGACAAUUCUCUAUUUAUUAAUGUGACCUCAAAUCAGGUAGGACUACCCGCUGAACUUAA
rnacentral:misc_RNA from 1 species